rnacentral:rRNA from 1 species
AUUGAACGCUGGCGGCAUGCCUUACACAUGCAAGUCGAACGGCAGCACGGGAGCAAUCCUGGUGGCGAGUGGCGAACGGGUGAGUAAUACAUCGGAACGUGCCCAGUAGUGGGGGAUAGACCGGCGAAAGCCGGAUUAAUACAGCAUACGACCUGAUGGUGAAAGCGGGGGAUCGCAAGACCUCGCGAUAUUGGAGCGGCCGAUGUCGGAUUAGCUAGUUGGUGGGGUAAAGGCUCAACAAGGCAACGAUCCGUAGCUGGUCUGAGAGGACGACCAGCCAAACUGGGACUGAGAACCGGCCCAGACGCCUACGGGGGGCAGCAGUGGGGAAUUGUGGACAAUGGGCGCAAGCCUGAUCCAGCCAUGCCGCGUGCGGGAAGAAGGCCUUCGGGUUGUAAACCGCUUUUGUCAGGGAAGAAACGCUCUGGGCUAAUACCCCGGGGUAAUGACGGUACCUGAAGAAUAAGCACCAGCUAACUACGUGCCAGCCGCCGCUGUAAAAC